CAUUCAACGGUUCUAAAAAGCGGUGCUCUAGAAAUUUUGAGCUAUGUACUCCAAAUACCUUGUCCUUAACUUAAUCAUAAUUAAUUUUAAUUGGCUUUUUUCGGUGAUAUGAAUACUACUCGAAGUAAGAGGGAGUAAGGAAAGUAAUAAAAGAAUACGGUGGAUAGAUACGCAAGCGAGCGAUAAGAGAAAUUGAAAUUAACAGAUGGCCAUUGUUGACCAACACAAUCACAACGACGAUCUUCUUGCCAUGCGUUCUCGAGUUGAACGGCUAGGUAAUAGUAGUUAGAUGAAGGCUAAAAUAUAAACGACUCAUAAGAAAGUGAUCAUUCGUCAUAAAUAAUUCCAAAAGUCCCAGUGAAGAAACAGGGGUGUAAUCAGUAAUAAAUAACAAAAGUUCCAUAAACAAAUAGAAAAACGCAUAAAUAAAUCAAAAGUUUCCAUAAAUAAAUGAUUUUUGAGCAAUUAAAAACGUCAAAAAUGCAAUGAAUAAUUCAACUGUUGCAAUAAAAAAAGCCAAUUUUCCCACCAAAAAGCUUCGAAUUUUCCAUAAAUAAAUUCGAUUUUUCCAUAAUAAAUUUAAAAAAAUCACAAUAAAAAAAUAUCAAAAAAGCAAUAAAUAAUUCAAAAAGUGCAAUAACAAAAAAAUAAAUUAUCAAUAAAUAUCAAAAAACGAGCAAUAAACGUAAAUGCAUUUUGAGCCAAAAAUUAUAUAGACCAUGCGGCGAUGCCGCAUAGAGGAUUGAGGAGCUGAGGCGGCAGAAGGCUGCCGAAGUUUCCGAUAUCCGAUGCACCGCAACUGCAUCGAUUCGGUUCUAGGCAAACCACAGAUUCAAGAAUUUGCCCGGUAUAAUGCAAACAUAGAUGAUAUCCCUUUUUUAGGUCCGACGAGCGAUAGCGAGUUCGGACAGCAAGCAAUUGCUCGGUAAAUUGCAAUCAUAGCACUAUGGGCCAGAAAUCAAAAUUUCGCGACAAAAUUCAAAAAAGUUGUUUUUUUUUUAGAUAAAUCUAUUUUUAUAUAUGUAUGAUUGUUUGGGCUAUGUUUGAUUAUAUGCCGACUGAUUUUUUUUUAUUUGUAACAAAAUUGUAUCGUUUUUUGUAUGGAGAAACUUCUUGUAAGCGAAAAUUCUCAAUUAUAACCAAUAUUAAGAAAAAUGUAAUUUGUGGUGAACAAUGUGCCCAACAAAUACAACGCCUACAUUUCCCAACAGCGGGUCUCCAGUUAGCUUAGUGGUUGGGGCUAUGGAUCGCCAAUCUGGAAUCAGCGGGUUUGAUACCCGGUUCCGGCCGGGAAAAAUUUCUCGACUCCCUGGGCAUAGUGUAUCAUUGUACUUGCCUCACAAUAUACAAAUUCAUGCAAUGGCAGGCAAAGAAAGCCCUUCAAUUUAUAACUGUGGAAGUGCUCAAAGAACACUAAGUUGGAGCGAGGAAGGCCAAGUCCCAGUGGGGAUGUCGAGCCAUGAAGAAAAAGAUAAAGAUUUCCAGUAAAUUUAGUAUAUUUUGCAUAUUUGAUGCACAAAUUGCGAUAUCUUUAAGUUUAAAGUUUUACAAUAUUUACUCAAAUUUUAUGGUUUAUUUGCCAAUUUGUUCAAAAUGUAGUAGUAUUCGACCGUGUUCGACAUGCAACUGGUCUAGGAAGCUAGUUGACACUCUUCUUUUUCGGAUGCUAUCGGUCUUUUUUUGCGGGAAUUUGCGGGGAACCAAGAUAGAGUGAUUUUAGUGCAUGCGUUAAUUUUACAAAACUAUGUUUUACGCUGUGCUUCAAUAACCAUCAACACUAAGAUCCAUUUUUGCCAUUACGACGCAAUCUCUUUAUGGCUUGCGAAACAAUAUGCAACAAAGGUUUCGUUUCAGGUAAGACUGUGAUUGUAGGUGUUUAAAUCAAUACCACACACUUACUCAAAGUGCAAAGUUUCGGUACAUCAAUUGACCACACGAAUUCAUGAUUUUUAAUAAGCUCAAUUUAUGUAUACAGGGAUAAGUUUUCGAUGAAAAAAUCCGCUGCUCAGGUGUUUCAGAUGUCCGGCAUUUGGCCUAAUGUCGCUUGGCCGAAUUAUGUUCAAAAUAGUUCAGAGACCCCUUUUCACAUUCUAGCUUCCAAUUUGAUCAUCAUUAAUUGUUCCUGUUGCGACGCCGCACAUUUUGAACCGGUCUAAAAUAUGAACCCGUCUAACCACAACAUAACUGCAGCAUGACAGUUCUCGCGCGGUAGUAGUGGUAGGUGAAAUAAGAGGGAAAGUAGAUGAAUGAGGUGCAAGUAGAAUUCGAUAAAAACAACGGAAUUUCGCCAUCGUAAAAGUAGGAAAAGAAAAUCAGUUUAGAGUUAUUAAAGUUAUUUAAAAUUUAUUUCGGUAACCAAAUUACACUAAUUGGUGCUUCCGUAAGUUGUGGGAGUGCGGUGUAAACUGAUAUACAAAGUCCGUAAGUUGAAACCUGUAGAGAAAAAAGGUAAAUUAUUAGUGAAACUUAGCAAAUACUUACCUGGAUUUCUCCCACUAGCUGUGCAAAUACCGGUGCUUGGUACGCCCCGAAACAGGGGAAAAUAACCAGAAAAGCUGCCGUGCCAGUGGAUUAUAUCGUAAGUAGACGCAAGAAUAGAAGUUUUCUUAUGUGUAAUGUAUAAUUGAAAAUAUUUGUGAUUACAAAAAUAGCAUCCGCGCAACAUACCGAUUAGGGUAACGGCCCCAAUUAUAGUCCAACCAGAGAAUUGAGAAAAGAAGUCGUGGCAAGGAAACCAUUUAAUUGUAAGUUGUUAGUAAUUUUAGUCUGUGUUGUGAAUUGUGUUUAUUGAAUUUGUUAAUAAAUUUCAGUUUAAGCGUUGCUACAAAAAACUUGAGCCGCUCUAAAAACCUGGCUUCCCUCUCGGGAACAUUCUUAAAAAUUAAAUGACACCCGCGAAGUAACUUCUGCGAAGUAAUAGUGUCAAGUGAGAAGUUCGGACCUGCCAAAAGAUGACUUCCGAUGCUGAGUCCACCCACGACCAAACCGUCAUGGAUCUGACGGCAUCUCAGUGUACAAUUCGUGGACUAUCUACGAGCGACGAGGUGAUGGUCUGCUGUGACGGAUGUUCUAAAUGGUUCCAUACAUGUUGCGUGGACAUCGAUGAGGACAAUCUGCCGAAGAAGUGGUACUGCCAAAGCAAGGCCUGCCAGGAGAAGGCCCAGGAGUACCGGCAGAAGCAGAAGGACACCAAGAAGCAGUUUCGCACCCGGAAACACGGCAACGAGUCGGACAAACCCAGCGUCAGCUCUUGUCUAGCUGCGUCUAGCUUGGAAGCAAAGCGCCGAGCGCUAGAAGAGAAGCAUAAGCGGCAGUAUGAAGAGCUGGAGGUGGAGAUGCAGCUGCGGAAGAAGGAAAGGGAGAUGCAGCGUGCGUUCGAGCAGCGAAAGACGGAGUUGGAGCUGCAGAUGCGCGCUGAAGAAGAAGAAGAACAAAGAGCAUGGCAAGCGGAGAUGCUCCAAAAGAAGAAGGAGCAGAUUCAGUGGCUGAAGGCGAACCGGGAGUCGUCGUUCGAGAUGCAAAUGGCGGCGAUGGAUGAGGAGUUAGCGGAACUUUCGGGUCAAAAGUCGAAGCCGGCGCCGGAAGUAGUCAAGGACGUUUCGCGAGCGGGUCCUUCCGGCAAAGUCAACCCAAACGUGUUGAAGCUGAGAAAGGCGAACGUGAAGAAGCUAACACGAGACUACGAGAGCACCGACGAAGAAGACGAGGACGACGAUCCGUCAACCCAGAGUUCGCAUUCGUCCAUGAAAACGAGGGUGAGGGAUAGGGCUCUGAGGAAGACGUGCCAGAAAGUGGGAAGUGCCAGCCAAAACUGGCUGGGGAAGCAGCAGACCGGGCCGACGAAGGCCCAGCUGACCGCGAGGAUGGGGUUAACCUACAAACUCCCAAAAUUCUCCGGCAAACCAGCACAGUGGCCAUUGUUCUACGCGGCCUACAAAACGUCCAAUGAUGUCUGCGGCUACAUGAACCACGAAAACCUGAUGCGACUGCAGGAAGCGCUGGAAGGCGAUGCCCUCGAACUGGUAUCUGGGCAGUUACUACUUCCCGAAACCAUCCCGCAGGUCAUCGAGAAGCUGCGCCGGCACUUCGGCCGCCCGGAACAAUUGCUUCAAUGCCUGCUGGACAAGGUGAACCAGCUGGAACCCCCGAGGCCGGACAAUCUGAGGAGUUUUGUUCCAUUCGGAAACACGGUGGAGCAACUCUGCGGCCAUCUGGAGGCAGCGGAUCUACGGCAACACCUCGUCAACCCGCUGCUGAUAAAGUCGCUGGUUGCUAAGCUGCCGGAUCGGGAAAAGCGUGAGUGGGUCCAUUACCGGCGAGGUCGAGGGGAAACAACCUUGAGGACGCUGACGGAUUUCCUUAUGGACAUCGUGGCAGACGCCUGUGAAGCUAAUGUUGACGUGGAGUUCAAUCCAUCGCCGUCGUCUGAAUCAGAUUCCCAGCCCGAAGAGGAGAGUUCGAAUGAGGCUGGGCUAUACUGUCACUGCGAAGCCAGCAGUUCGACCUACAACACAAGUGAAGAGAGUAAGCUGAAACCGUGCAAGAUGUGCCAAUCCAAGGAUCAUCGUCUGCAGCACUGCGCGGAUUUCAAGAAGUUGCGGUACGAUGAGCGUUUGAAGCUGGUGACGCUCGAGAAGUUAUGCCAUGUCUGCCUCAACGAGCACGACGGGCAGUGCAAAUUGAAAAUCCGCUGCAACAUCGGCGACUGCAGAGAGUUCCACAACUCGCUCAUGCAUCCGGUCGGAAACACGGUCGGGCUGAGUGCACCCAUAAGGACAAACUGCACGGUCUUGUUCCGGAUCGUUCCGGUACAGCUGCACUGCGGAGGCAGAACAGUUUCGGUGUUAGCGUUCCUGGACGAAGGAGCUUCCGUCACGCUGGUGGAAAAAAAGCUCGCCGACCGUCUGGGCGCGGUCGGAGUACAAGAGCGAUUGACCAUCCGGUGGACGGGAAACACGUCGAGAGUGGAGGAUUGCCGAAGAAUGAGUCUGUGGGCUUCGGGAACAGGCGCUGCAGCCGGCGGCAAGAUGCUGUUGCACACAGUGCACACGGUGGACAAACUGAUGCUGCCACAUCAAAGGUUGGAUUCUGAGGAGUUUGCAGCACAGUACGAGCACAUGCGAGGACUGCCCAUUGAAUCGUACGACGGACAGCCGCAGUUGCUGAUUGGGGUAAACAAUAUCCACGCGUUUGCACCGAUGGAGGCAAAGGUGGGUACGCCAGUGGAACCGAUUGCUGUUCGAACCAAACUAGGAUGGACGGUCUAUGGGCCGCGACAGCAAACCCCAGCGGCGGCCGACAACUAUCUCGGUUACCACCGGCAGGUAACAAACGAGGAUCUGCCGCCCGAGAGUCAUUAUGCGUCGAAAGAAUCGGUGGUGACAAUUUCACGGGGCACCGUGGAGAAGAAAUGGGCCCAGCGAAUAAGAGAGCGAACCGCCCAACUCGUCGGCAAUCGCUGCGAAGACGAAUCGCUGUCGAAGACCCGGAGACAAGAAAUUAAAACGUGUCGUCAUCCGGACAGCUCCGAAAAAAUCGCCACGAACAUGGCGGUUCUCAUCCCGAACGCAAGAAGACAGGCUGAACAACAAAAUAGGCGGGUUCGAAAUCCGAAACGGGAUGAUCAACUCGCUGGAAGCCUUGCGGAGCCUAGAAGAGGCGAAACCGACGACACCGACGCAUUUGAUGGCGAAGGAGAGAGUCCUGGGAGCGGUCAGGGAUCCAAGUGGGGAUCGGCGUUUUCGACUCGCUUUUCGACGAGGCACCGCGGCGAGUUGUUGCCGCAGUUGUACGAGGAAAAGUGGCCGUCGAGAAAGCUCGUCGCAAGUGGCGCAAAACCGGAGGAAGUCAAGAACGGUCGGCGAAAGGAGAAGCUUGGGGUGAUGCGUGCGCUCGAUGAGGGGCGCAAGUUGUUGGGCAAGAUCCUACCAACGACACUAGCGGAAACGGCUGGCAAUGGUUCGACGAUUCUUCGUGGUCGACGGGAAAUCCCGACAGUCUUGCAGAUGAAGCUUCAUCGCUGCGGUCAUCAAGGUCUCAGAAGGACGAGCUCGACAGACAAACGUGAGGACGAAGAUGGUAAGGCGCAGAGACGGGACUUGGUAAAGCUUGCGUCGUUAAGAGGUAAUGUAAAUCCGAAAAUGCCGGAUGUUACGGGCUGGGGUGUUGCGACGCCGCACAUUUUGAACCGGUCUAAAAUAUGAACCCGUCUAACCACAACAUAACUGCAGCAUGACAGUUCUCGCGCGGUAGUAGUGGUAGGUGAAAUAAGAGGGAAAGUAGAUGAAUGAGGUGCAAGUAGAAUUCGAUAAAAACAACGGAAUUUCGCCAUCGUAAAAGUAGGAAAAGAAAAUCAGUUUAGAGUUAUUAAAGUUAUUUAAAAUUUAUUUCGGUAACCAAAUUACACUAAUUGGUGCUUCCGUAAGUUGUGGGAGUGCGGUGUAAACUGAUAUACAAAGUCCGUAAGUUGAAACCUGUAGAGAAAAAAGGUAAAUUAUUAGUGAAACUUAGCAAAUACUUACCUGGAUUUCUCCCACUAGCUGUGCAAAUACCGGUGCUUGGUACGCCCCGAAACAGGGGAAAAUAACCAGAAAAGCUGCCGUGCCAGUGGAUUAUAUCCAUCCGCGCAACAUACCGAUUAGGGUAACGGCCCCAAUUAUAGUCCAACCAGAGAAUUGAGAAAAGAAGUCGUGGCAAGGAAACCAUUUAAUUGUAAAAGUAAUUCGAAAGAGCUGUCACUUUAAUCCGACAAUUACACCGACGUUAACCAAUAGCGAGCGCAUCUUUUUGAACUCCGUCUGUUUUCAAAAGCGAACCCCACUGUCUGAUGAAAUCAUUAAAAACAUUUGUUUUUUGAAGUCGUAUUUUCAGAGAACGCAUUCAAAUUGAUAAGACCAGUUACUUGAUUUGAACCAUAGAUUUUUUUUUACUGCUGAAUAAACAUAUUCCUUACCACAAAAUUGCGUUUUUAAGCAUUUUGAAAUUUUCCCGGGAUCCCGGGAUUUCCCGGGACAAGCAACAAAUUUUAUCCCGAAUCCCGGGACAAGCAAAUCGGUCGGGAAAUGGAACCUCUAUUUGCAACCAAUUCAAUAAUUUCUGACAAAAAUUUUCGAUUUUUAAGAAAUACAUUUUGGAAAAAGUAUACAAACUUCUAAUGAAAUACAUGCAGAUGUUUCUGGUAUUUCCAUUCGUUAAACCCUCCAAAGCGGUUUCGUUAUUGCAUAUCUGAAUGAAUUUCUAGCAUAAGCCUUGCUUGAACUUCUUAGUUUACGUAGUAGUUUCUGAACAAUUUUACGCCAAUUAUCCUUGUGAAUUAAAAAUUAGCUUGUUAUUCACCAAAAUGAACCAAAUUUCCAAACUUAAAUGAAUCCAAAUUCACAAAUAAAAUGCUGGUGAAAUGUCUGAUUUUUUUUUCUCGAGGACUACUUUCAGAAAAUGGUAUUAUUUUCCAGUAGCAAUUCCAGAGCAUUUUCGUUUGAGACGAAUUUACAAGAAGUUCUAUUUACAAGAAAGAUUCCUGUAGAAAUCUUAGAGAAGGAAGUUUUCCAAAAAGAUUAACAACGGUAUUGAAUAGAGUGGUGGGCUAAAACGUGUAUGUGUUUCAAUUUUGAUUUUGUUUGUUUUAUUUAAAUAUAUAUUUUUUACCGUUUAGAAUCGCUUUCCUGGUGAAGAAUUGGGUGCCCUGCCCAUACUGCAGCUUUGAUCAUUUUAUGAAAUAAUGUGUUAAAGGAAUCACAGCACUUUUGAUUCAUUAUCUUAAAAAGUCCCCCGCAAAACUUUUGGCAAUAUCUAAGACGUGCCUCAAGAAAAUAUUAAUGAAACUUAAAUAAUAUAUAGUAAUAUCAACAAUUAAAAAAACCUUAGUGUUUUCGUUGAUAAACUGUUAUGAACUGUUUUCACAGAAUAUGUCAGAAAUUCGUACAUGUGCUCACCGAAAUUGAAUUCACCAUAUAUUUGGCAAUUUUCAGUACACUUUUUGUUUUAACAUUUACGUGGUCAGAGUAAAAUUUGAAUUGCGUCAGAGUAAAAAUUUCUAAAUUUCCUUUUGGUGAUAGGUAUCGCAAGGAAUUUCAAAAUCUAGAAUCCUCAUUUAAAUUUUUUUAAAGUCCUUCUUCAAAAGCUUUUAAAAUCUUCAGCACUAGUUGUAACCAGUUUUGGGAAAAAAAAAUAAUACUCCUAGAUUAAGAAAGGCUGACACAAAACAUACCUUUUUCAUGUGAAAAUCUCAGGAAUACCAUUAAAAAUAAUAGUAGCAGUUCUGUGGAAUAUGGUAAAUAAAAAUUUUCAAACUAUGUUUUGUUGGAAUAAAGCAAAAACCUGUAAAAAUAGUGUUUUGCAAUAAAAUAGCACUGGCUAAUAUAUAGGAGGGGAUUUUAUAAAGAUAGUUAUUUUUUCCGUCAGUUUCAAAUCAAAAUCUAUGGUUUUCACUAGAAGUUCCAACCCGGGAUAUCCCGGGACAAAAAAUCCCGGGAUCUUGAAAAAUUCGGGAUUUCCCGAAUCCCGGGAUAACAUUUUUCACCGUCCCGAAAAUCCCGGGAUUCCCGAGACGCACAUUUCUUACACAUAUUUUUCGCUUUGAUUUGAAUUUGGAGAAUCUCUGAAGCGUAUUCGAAGAGUCAUGAUUUUUUUUUCAAAAAUCGCUUUCCACAAAAAGUCACGAAAAUGUUACAUAAACCAUUUCAACUGUGUUUCAACAAAACUCGUUGAAACUCGACUGAAACAAUGCUGGAGCACUUCAUUUAUGGUUUUGAUAGCAUCAAAGAGAAAUUUUUCGAAAUAGGCCUUUCUAGACUUAUGUUGGACAUGGACAAUGAUUUUGAAGCUGCAAAAAAUCAUCAGGAAGCUCUUCAGCCAAUCAGACUCGCUUCGGAAGCAUUGGGAAGACGAGAUGCUAUACUAUUGUCUACGGAAGGCAGCUUGAGUUUCUUGUAUUCGAAGCUUACAAAAAGUAACUCCAAUGUUGGGAACGACCUCUUCCAUGCAAUUAUGAAAAGAAUCAACAAUCGGCGCCAAAAGGAAAUAAUAACAGCGCUAAAGUUCCUUCAAGGUCUUCCGUCGUCAACGCAAGUGCCAGCAGAACUGGAAAGCUCAUCGAAAACGCAAAUGAUUAAGUUCAUCAAGAAACUGGGAGUUCGAUUGUUGCGACACUGCCAAAGACAGACCGAUAAUGAUGCUGCCGAGUUGAAUGCUGGAUUGUCUUGUAUGCAUUACACCAUCGAGCAUGCGCGAAAAACUAAUCGGCUAUAAAGUAAUAUGGCAACCCGUCUUAGACUGAUUCGGAAAUGAUUGAAUUUUCGAAAGUAAUUGCGAAAGAGUUGUCACUUUUUGAGCUACAUGGUAAGUUGACCCCGAAUCUUAAAAUCGAACUCCGGAUAUAUCCGUUCUAAAAAGCGACCCUCACUGUUCGAUGAAAUCAUGAAAAACAUUUGCUUCUUGAAGUCGUAUUUUCAGAGAACGAAUUCAAAUUGAUAAGACCAGUUGCUUGAUGUGACCCAUUUAUUUAUUUGAUAUGAUGAUUAUAACAUAUUUAUUACUGUUCGCAAAAAUGUGUUUUUAAGCAGAUUGAAAACUAUCCCGGGAUCCCGGGAAUUCCCGGGACAAGCAACAAAUUUUAUCCCGAAUCCCGGGACAACCAAAAUGGUCGGGAAAUGGAACCUCUAGUUUUCACAACUGUAAGGAUUGACUAGUGCGGAUUUUAAUCACUACAGGCUGAAACCGCACUAUGGCCAAAACUUCGGACUGGCCGAAACUGAUGCUUUUUCAGGUAGAUUUUUCUAAAAUUCGUCAAAGGAAACGAUAGAUUUUUCCAUUUUUUCGCAAAUUCCCCUAUGUACGCUGCUUAAACUUUUCAGAAAUCAAUCGGACUUUUAAUCUCAGAAAUUCUACCAAAAAUACUACUCUAGUAUGUGUGUCAGAAAUUUAUUGUAAGUUAACUAAAGGAAUUAUGUAGGAAAUUUGUUGAUAAACCUGGGCGUGUUAGUGGAAUACUUGUAGGUGAAAGCUGUAAUCCAGUUGAAUAAUGUUCCGUUAAAUUCCAACUACCUAUGUAUUUGCAUCCUGAUACGAAUUUCGACCUCAUCAAAGGUCGUUUUCAGUGUCUCGUACUUGAUUCGAGUCAUGCACGAGACAAUGGAGAAGACCUUACAUUUGAGGUCGAAAUGCAGGAUGCGAACGCAUACAGGGAAUUUUUGAAAAUUUUCAUUUUUUUAUGUUUAAACAAGCCGUAACUUUUGGUAGUGUAGUUUAUUACCACAUUUGCACGAGCUCAUUAUUAUCACAGCCGAAUUUCGCACGCGACUUCGCAACGACCCACGUUCAAAACUUUGCUCGUGCCCAUGAUAGGGUUAUUGGUGGCAUAAUUGAUAAAUGAAUUAAGUUUGACUAGAGUGAAAUAUCGCUGGAAAAUGGAAAUUCAGUGAAUUUUCAAGUUAUUACAGAAGUCUAAACCUUAAGAAACCCAAUAUCGACAUUUUUAAAAUUUUCACCAUUAGUUGAUCAACUAAUCGGCUGUUUUGUAACAGCCAUUCAGAGUAUAUUCAUAUACAAUUCAAAAAGUAGGUAGGGUCCACAUUGUAUGAGAAAAUUAAAAUUCAAUCACGUUAACCCUGAACAAAGUUUUUUUAAUACCCUGGAAUUGUGGAAGGAAGUUAUACCCAACCUUGAAAUUAUCGCCUUGAUAUUGAUCGGCCUCCAGUGAUAGUGAUGGUGGUAAGCAGUCAACUGAGAGGUCUGAUAUUUUCCAGUUCUGCCAAUACGUUGAACAUAACGUCGGAAUAUGUGCCAUCUACCAUCGAUAUGUUUCCAAAUUCGAUGAUGGCUUUGGAUAAAAAAAUGUUUGAGUACUUAUUAAAUGAGCAAGGCAAUAUCACCACUAGGUGGGUUUAUCCGUUUUUUUUUUGUAUGAAUUUUAAAUGCUCAAAAUUGUAUUCCAUUCGGUUCAUUCAACCCGAAGACACACAGCUCUAAAGUGGCUAUCAGAUACAAUUGCAACUUACCAGAACCGUUCCAACUUUAAAUAGAAAAACUUAUGGCAAUUUGAACAUAUUUUGAAUAUUGAAAAUUUUAGGAAUUUCUUAGAAAAUUCUCAGAGAAUCCCUCCAUUAUUUUUCCGGAAUCUCUUUUAGCAAUUUUGGGUUAUUUUCAAAAAUUAAUAAAAAAAAAUAAACAAAAAAAAAUAGUCCUGCUGCCGGGACUUGAUCGACAUGACGGUAUCGAACAAGCUGUUUGUGUGUAUUGUCUCGAGUAUUGUAUUUAUGCCGUGAGAGCUUGGUCAUUGGUAAACAUAAUGUAAACUGGUGAGCUUGCUCCAUUAUUAUUAUUAUGGUUAUUAUUAUUACUUUUUUUGAGGUUUUGGCUUUCUCAGCCCGACGUUUCGGCCUAAUUUUUUAGGCCUUUUUCAAGGGUAAAUCUGUCUAUCGUUUUUUGUUGUGUUCUAUAACUAUUGCCACAGUUCUUUUGGAACUUCUUGUAGCAUUUCUACACAUAGAGAUUUAAGGCGAAUAUUUACCAUAAUUUUAGAAGGGACUUAGACACUACCUUUGCACAUUCAUCAACUCACUUGGCACUUUUGCACUCAUUUGUAGAAAAGCUAUAAGAAGCUCCAAAAGAAACUGUGGCACUAGUUAUAGAACACAACAAAAAAAGGGAAGACAGCUUUACCAGUAAAAAGGCCAAAUAAAUUAGGCCGGAAUCCAAAUGAUUAAAUUGGCAUUACCCGACGGCCAAUUUAAUCAUUUGGAUUCUCUAGACUUAGAAAGCCAAAACCUCCAAAACAUAGAAUUUCCAGUUGAAAAUCUUACGCUAAAUUAUUAAUUUUAUUAACGAGAAUUACAGCCUAGCACAGCUUGUUUCAUAUCCCUUUCGGGAAGAACCAGCGCAAUUGUGCUGUUAAGCAAUAACAUUUUUACAUAUUUUUUUCAUCUGUUUAGUCUUUGUUUUAUGUGAUGUAAAUUAUUUAAAAUAUUGAGCCAUUACAUAUACUUGUAUAUGUGCAAAACAACUUUUCUUUAUGUUGCAUAAUAGAUUUACCACAUCAAGAUAAACAAAAAGUGAACAAAAACUGUGAAACACGAAAAAGUUUUAUCUGUCGCAUAUUUUUUAUUUUCGAUUUAUCUAGGUAGUCAAGGCAAGAAAUCGAAAGAUAAAGAGUAGUUCUACCAAACGAGGAACAACAAUUGUUGUUUUGUUGGGAAAUCUAAUAGUUCUGAAGAACCAAAGUUGAGCCAUUUGUAUGGAGAUUUCGCUUGUUUGCGCUCCGUCACGAAAGGGAUGUUAUUAUUAUGUUAAAUAAUUAUUAUGUUUUUUUUUUAAUUUUAAAAUCAAAUAUUCACUUAUAUAACAGGUUCUGAAAGGUUGAUCGCGACAUGUUUAAAUUUAUUUUUCGAUGCAUCACUGUUGUGAUGAGUGAAUAUUAAAAAAAAAAAGCAUAAUGAAUCGCGUAUUGAUUUGCGUGUAUGCCGAAGCUCUGGGGCAUUUUGAAGUUGGAUUUCAGUGCUUCAGAAUGUAGCAAAAGCUGUUCAACUAAUUGAAUAAAUCACUCUUUUCCCGUCGAAAAAAUGUAAGCAAUAAGUAGUCUUUGUCUAGGGAAGAUGCAAGCGAUGCAAGUAAAUGAGUGCGUGGAUUUUCUGCAUACGAAAUCACAGCAAAUCACAGAAUUUAUAAUCACUGAGAAAGUUUUCUUCGUUGCACUUUAAUGGCGUAUUCCCAACAAACAUUUUCACUGUAUUAGAGUGGAACAAACUACUCUUAAGCAAACUUAAGCUUAAGAAACUGCUAUUCAGCCAGUUCUGUUUCUUGGGUUAUGAUCUGGUGGGAAACAAUAUUAAUUAAACUAUUUGGACCGUUAUUCCAAAGCUACAUUCAUCUCAAUUUAAAAGCUUUCUGCCCAAAAGUAAUUUGAACACAUGAUUUGAUUUGCAAUGCGACGGAUUUUACCAUCUUUUCGAAUAAACACCUACAAUCAAAUCAUAGUUUUUGACUACCCUAUGCACCGAAGUGUCUUGUAGAAAGUGUGCCGAGAAUUGAAUUUCGAUUGUGGACUAGAUGGAAACAGAAUUCAAUCUUGUUAUUUCAAGGAGCUAUAGUUCUUUUACAACAUUUAGUACAAGAUAUGGACGCUAAUUUAUAAAAAAGUAAUUAAUUCCAAAUUGACCAUGAUGAGACAUCAGACAAGGUGCACGAAUAAAUUCGAUCAUUAUCAGUCGGUGCUUAGUUAGACGGGAAUAACCCUAAUCAAAAUGUAUUUCUUUAGAGGACAUUUUCGUCAGUUGAUGUCAUCUGAAGUGACAAAACACAAAAGGAAACUUUAACUGCCGUUACUUGCAACUUUUGGUUAAUACUCGAGUUAAAGUUUUCAACAUCAAUGCUUGAAAUACUUGCUUGGACAUUGCAAUUAUUUUGCGUUUUCAGCUAUUUUCAAAACAAUAUUAUUUAUUGUUAUCUUUAUUAGACUUCACCUUCAACAAGUUCAUUACCAAACGUAUCUACCAUUUUACUACCGAGCAUUUGUUGGCAAGGUUAAAAUUCCUUUAAAGCAUCCAUGAAAUGUGCGUCACCGUUGUUGUUCCGAUGACGAGCGCAAAGAGCCCGUAGAAAUCAAACAAAGCCGGCCCAAAUUCGGGCGAUUAUGCUCUCGGAACUGAACGGGAUCUGAAAUUUACGGAACAGCAAUGAAUAAUUUAUUACUCAAACCUUCGGCUGUUGUUGUUCUUGUUGUUGCUGCUGCUGUUGUUGGUUACCCGUUUCAUGAUUAUUGCUGGGCUCAAGGGGCAAUUGUGCGUUCACAUGUCAAGCGGCUUUCGGGGGUCUUAUCGUUCGUUGAACGGAGAUUGUUUGAAGGAUGUUGCUGAAAUGACGGGACGGGAGCUUGACUUUAAUCGGUGUUGUAAAGGUGCGGUCGUGAAACUUUAUUUGACCUGUUUUCUUGAGUUUGAUUACCCAGCUCGACAGUGGUCCGAAUUUUCGGGCGAAAUAAAGUUAAUGAUUACAGUGAUUACGCUGCGGUUUUAAAGUUUUCAUCGUUUUUCAACGGGCUUGAAAUCUGCGGAGCACGAUGACAUCAUAAUAAAGCGCUAUUUCUUCAAUCCUCAUUGAAAUUCCCACUUUACUUCUUUACCUUAGCAUAAAGCAAUCAUUCAUAUUCCCAUCAACAUCAUCAUCUAACGUUCAUCCAUCUUCCGCGGUAUUCAUCUGAUCAUCUUGAACUGUGCUUUGGUUUGGCCGCUCAUUCAUCCAAACGAUACUCACUCCACCCACACCCAACACAAACCGUCUAACGCACCUCCCCUCGCCCCCCAUAACUAAAACUAACGACCUUUCCUA